rnacentral:rRNA from 1 species
UGGGGAAUUUUGGACAAUGGGCGAAAGCCUGAUCCAGCCACGCCGCGUGAGUGAAGAAGGCCUUCGGGUUGUAAAGCUCUUUUAGUCGGAAAGAAAGAGUUGCAAUGAAUAAUUGUGAUUUAUGACGGUACCGACAGAAAAAGCACCGGCUAACUACGUGCCAGCAGCCGCGGUAAUACGUAGGGUGCGAGCGUUAAUCGGAAUUACUGGGCGUAAAGGGUGCGCAGGCGGUCUUGCAAGUCAGAUGUGAAAGCCCCGGGCUUAACCUGGGAAUUGCGUUUGAAACUACAAGACUAGAGUGCAGCAGAGGGGAGUGGAAUUCCAUGUGUAGCAGUGAAAUGCGUAGAGAUGUGGAAGAACACCGAUGGCGAAGGCAGCUCCCUGGGUUGACACUGACGCUCAUGCACGAAAGCGUGGGGAGCAAACA